GUACAGUGGCGAGAGAGAAAUAAAUGAACAAACAACAAAAGAGAAAAAAGGGGGCCAUGACAUCACAGCGUGAGCUGCCCUGGACAAUGCCUGAGAAAAGGAUGAGAAGAGACGACUGCAGAACUUGUCCGUGAGACUCUGCCUUUCUCUUUCUCUUACUCGCCUCUCUUUCUCACUGCCUUUUGCCGUCUUUGCCCUGGGAGGAGGGCGAAGCACACUUUUUGGCAGAGCGACACUGGACUAUUUCUGUGACUUUCCUCUCUGUUGGCCAGCUGGCUGCCUGGAUUCUAAGCCCCUUUUCUAUCUACAGCAGAACAGGAUUCAUCAUAGCACCGCCACCAACAACUCCUACAAGUCACUGGCUUUUUUUUGUCAUUUUUUUCUCUUUGGGUGUUUAAUUUAAUCCUCAGUUUUAACUGUCUCACAGCUCAGCUCACAGUUGCUGCAGCCACACAGAGGCAGGAGGAAUGACAGAAAAAUAGAUGUGAUAUGACAGUGAGGAAAACCAAGGUUCUCUUUUGGACCAUGAAUUUGCGCAUUUUCUUUCACCUGCCGCACUGGGUUGAAAAAGUGACAUGGAUGGAUUGUUACAUAACUUUCCUUAAGUUUCUGAAGGUUUUUUUCUUUUUUUCUUUGCGAGUGAAGAAGAAAACUUUCACCCUUGCCAGAGUCUCUGUGGUAGUGUGGUCGCUGACCAGAAAAAAAAUUUACCCUUGUGUUUUAAGGAGGGUGAAAAUAAGGGGAAAUCUGCACAGAAGGUACAGGCAGCACAAGGGCAGCUAAAGACGAUGCAAUGACUUCUGUAGAAGGGGAACGGAGAGGCAUGUACUACCUGGGAUGGAUGCCAAAUGCUGACAAAAGACUUCAAUGCACUCCCUCCCUCUCUGGGAGAAGCCCAGUUCUUUAUUCUAAGAUGUGUCUUAAUUCCAUGGCAUUGUUUAAUGAAUCUAGCCUGACUCCUAGAAGAGAUGCCAAAGACUGUCCCCGCCAGGCAGCACCGUGUACCAUUUUGGGCAAGGACUUUGGGGCAAUUCAGGAAGGAGAUAAAAUAGGGGUGACAACAACUCAGCCCGAAGACUUUUGCGGCGACCACAACUUCGGGUGCGCUCCAAGAGAGCCUGGCCCUGCCCGUUUUCUCUUCCCUUCUCGCGCAGCUGUGACCUCACGCUUGCCCACUCUCCCGCCCGCUUUUGGCAGCGUGGAUGAAGUGGGCAGGGAGAGAGGAGGGCAUGGCUGAGGGGCCUCGCCACUGGCUGGGGCCCAGGCCCCAGCCCCUGCAUGAACAGGGUGGUUCGCCAUCACGCCUCUCCCUCUCUCUCUCUCUCUGCCUGCUUUUUCCUUCGCCUCACCCCACCAGCCAACGAUUGAGACGUGGAGCCUCUCCUCUCCCUCUCCCUUCCUUGCCUGUCCAUGCGACUGCCGCCGCCCCCGCCUCCCCCUCGGCUGAGGGCGCCGCGCUCCCUCCGUGGACCUCUCACCCAGAUUCUUAAUGUGAGAAUACAGCCUUGGUGCAUUAGAUACUGUCCUUGAGGCUGAGGUAGUAGAUUGAAUAGUUGUGGGGUAUUAGUCCUCCCUCUGAGAUAACUAUACAAUCUACUGUCUUUCCUAAGGAGACAGUCUGAUCAACUAUCUACUCAUGUGUGACUGGACAUCAUGCUGACCCAACAUGGACUCCUAUCAAACACCCACACCUGGAGAUUUGAUUUAAAAUGCAGUUGGGUGAUUUGUUAUUCUGACAGUUAGUUGCCUUGUCACAUGUUUGUUCAAUAUGAACAGUGUGUUUUAGGCUACAAUGCAGUGAAAUAGCUGGAGAUCUCUCCAUCUGGAACAGUGUUUCCACAGGGUGAGGUAGUAGGUUGUAUAGUUUGUGGGAGGAAUCACAUCCUAUUGAGGUGAUAACUAUACAGUCUAUUGCCUUCCUUGUGUGACACAAUAACGUAGAGAAAGAACAAGAGUUUCUGUCAAAUAGCUAAGAACAUUAAAUAUUAAUAUAACAUGGUUGUGUUUGUGUUUUGUGUUUGACAGAGGCAAUUUGUUUUAUUUCAGAAGCUGUGAUCUUAGGCAUGUCCUGUUUUUGUCUGCUGAUGAAUUCAAUAUGAAAUUCAAAUAAACAGGAAAAAUCUCA